UACGAAGGGGGCUAGCGUUGUUCGGAUUUACUGGGCGUAAAGCGCACGUAGGCGGAUCGUUAAGUCGGGGGUGAAAUCCUGGAGCUCAACUCCAGAACUGCCUUCGAUACUGGCGAUCUUGAGUCCGGAAGAGGUGAGUGGAACUCCUAGUGUAGAGGUGGAAUUCGUAGAUAUUAGGAAGAACACCAGUGGCGAAGGCGGCUCACUGGUCCGGUACUGACGCUGAGGUGCGAAAGCGUGGGGAGCAAACAGGGAUUAAGAAACCCGGGUGAGUACC
rnacentral:rRNA from 1 species